UACGUAGGUGGCAAGCGUUGUCCGGAAUUAUUGGGCGUAAAGCGCGCGUAGGCGGAUUGCUAAGUCAGGGGUGAAAUCCUGGAGCUCAACUCCAGAACUGCCUUUGAUACUGGCGGUCUCGAGUCCGGGAGAGGUGAGUGGAACUGCGAGUGUAGAGGUGAAAUUCGUAGAUAUUCGCAAGAACACCAGUGGCGAAGGCGGCUCACUGGCCCGGUACUGACGCUGAGGUGCGAAAGCGUGGGGAGCAAACAGGG
rnacentral:rRNA from 1 species